GUUGGAGGAAGUAUGUCACUGUGGGUGGGCUUUGAGGUCUCAUAUGAUCAAGCCAGGCCCAGUGUGCGUCUCCUUCCUGCUGCCUGCCAAUCCAUAGGUAGAACUCUAAGCUCUGCUCCAGCAUCAAGUCUGCCUGCAAUCUGGCAUGCUUCCCAACAUAGUGAUAAAGGACUAAGCCUCUGAACUCUAAGUCCGCCAUAAUUAAGUAUUUUCCUUUAUAAGAGUUGCCCUAGUCACAGUGUCACUUCACAGCAGUAGAAACCCUAACCAAGACAGAGAUCUUACCUAACAUUUUUAAUGGAGUAAACAGGAAGCACAUUCAGACAGGGCUUGUCCUUCCCCUGGCUCGGGUCUUGGGUCUCUCUCAUUUCAGGUCAUGACUUCCACCAGCUCAUCAGGAAGAAGGACAUGAGGCCAAGAGAGAGCUGGUCUCUUCUGGCCUCACAUCUGGAUGCCACUGGACAGAUUUACUUUUUGGAAGUUAGCUUCUGAAUGUGUCACAGAUACAUGCACCUUCGAGUCAGGACUGCAAACUCAGCAGUUACGAAACAGCCAGGCCGGUGAGAGACGCCCGGGCAGCGGUUGCAGGAUGUCAAUGCCAAAGCGUGUUUUCUAGUGAAGUGUGGAAACUGUUGUGAGCUACCACGUCUGCGAAGACAGAUUUGAUCUUUUGCUGGCUGAGAAGUGCUAGUCUCAGAGAUAAAGAAAGAGGUUGGGAAGGUGGGCGGUCAGCGAAAUCCACACCGGAAGGACGACCUGCAAGCUACUGCGUGGCAUACCACGUGACAUCGUGCAAGCAUCCUCUGUCAGCAGCCGCUGCCCCCUGAGGCCUUGGUGUGGACAUGCCUGUGUCAGUGAGCGACAGGGAGCACCUAACAGCCAUGCUUGGGCUCGGUACUCACCAAGCUAUUUCCACAUUCAGUUCAGCUUCUCCUGCUCUGUCCUCACUCAUUAAAGCAAACCUAAAUAUACA